AUGGAGAUCUACUCAUCAACUGCAUGUGUAGUGACAAUCUUGUUCAUUUUUGCUACAUUCUCUGCACAAGGAAUUUGGCAUCAUGACAGAAGGAGCCACAGCAAUGCAGGUUUCAGUGGACAGAUGGAAGGCAGCCAUCAUCUGCACUGUUGUGGAAAUGUGUCGUACAAGAUCUCAGAAAGUUCCUGCUGUAAUGGAAAUGUAACUCUGGGAUUAAGCCAGCUGGUGGCUGACUGCUGUGAUUCUGUAUCUUACAAUCCCCUUAACGAGAUUUGCUGUAAUGGCAGCAUACUGACACGAAGCAGCACUCACAUGAAAUGCUGUGGCAAAGCCAUGUACCUGACAACGACUCAUUUGUGUUGUGGUGGUGACAAAAUAUUUGAAUGGAAGGAAAAUCAUUCUUGUUGUGGCAAUGAAACAUAUGACAUGACAACCCACUGCUGCUGCACUAACCUUAAUCUAAAAGUAAAGCCUUAUAAUGACACUUGCUGUCCAAAAGCAACAGAUUCUGAUAAAAAAACAAAAUGCCAACAAGGCUCCCUUCCCACCUGCACACUCCCCAAAGUCUCAGAAUUGAAGUGUGGGUCUGAACCUUACAAUCCCCAGGAAAAAAUAUGUUGCUCAGGGAAUCUGUAUAAGAAGGCAUCAGCACUUACUAAGUGCUGUGGCAAAGAUGUUUACACUCUGUCAGAUGACAAUGUGCUGUGCUGUAAUGGAAUCCUUCAUCUCAAUGUGCCUGAGCAGUCAGAGUGUGUUGGAGGUGUUAUAUAUGCUCCACCAAACACUAUUUGCCAAAUGUCUGCUCGCCCCCGUCUUGGUGAGCACUGCUGUGGAGGACAAACCUUCAAUCCUCGCACACAUAUUUGCUGUAACGGACACAGCCACAACAAAACGAAUGGCAAUUAUUGUUGUGGUUCAGAAGUCUAUGACCUCCACAACCAGUUGUUGAGAUGCUGCUCAGGUCAUCUCUACAACCUAACACGUUUAAGUGGGGAAGCAGAGUGCUGUGGAAACCAUCUGCUGGAAUAUAAUAACAAUCAAAUUUGUUGUUCCUCCUCAACCAAUGCUAUAAUUUAUGACACCAAACCAAACCACCGUUGCUGUGGGCAUUACUACUACAACACAUCCCUGUGGAGCUGCUGUGCUGAACAUCUCAAACCAACACCAAAGCCUGACAGCUCUCCUGCAGAAUACAGGCUUAAACCACUAAUGGACCUGAUCCCUGAAAUGUGCAAUAAAACAGUGUUCUUUGGCAAAGUGGAGAGUUUGGCACUUGAAAAUGAUCAGCGUCAUGUGGUGUUGAAAGUUGUGUGGCAGGUCAACAUGAAAUCAGAAAAGGUCAUCAAAGACCCAUGGCUUCAUGUGUCCCUGGAUCACUGCAGCUCUCCUGCCACAGAGAGCGGCAUGACCUACCUUUGGGAGGAAAACCAUGAUAGGAAGUACAAGCUUCUCUCUCACCCUGUUGACCUAACCUCUGACAUGCAACUGUUAUAUGCUGUAUGUUACCAUAAAAAGGGAUAAAAAUAUGGAUUGAGGUCUACAAUAUUUCCCAUAAUUUUGAAGCAAAUUCAUGCAGGUUGUCAUAAGAUUUUUGUCCUGAAGAGAAUUUGUAUCCAUCAUUAAUGCUAAAUGACCCUUAAGACAAGUUUACCCUUUUAAGAGAAGUCUGUUACUGUACGCAGCAUUAUGGCAGAUGCCUCACAUGUUGUAUAUCUGUGCUUUUUUGCCUCACUGGAUAUUUUUAAUUAAUCUCAAUAAUAUAUCGAUCCUGUUGGGAGUGAUGCAUCUAUUUAUUCAGUCAGGUAAAUUUUAAGGUUUGUUAAUAUACAAAUUUUAAAAAGAGAAAUGGAAUCAGUUAUUGAGUUCUCUUAAAAGUAAUUUUUUUACAAAAGAAAUUAAUGGCUUUUAUCCUAAUCCUUGAAGACAGAGGUUAUUUCAUAUGUUUUUUUUAUAUUUUAAGAUGUUAAUAUAACAACAGCUCAAAUAUAAGCUUGAUGUAGCUAUGCAUUUAUUUUUAUUAUUAUUAUUAUUUUUCAUUUAAUUGUUGUUGUUAUUUUUUUUUUUUUUUUUUUACCAAUUUACAGGUUUGUUACUACUUGUCGAACAGUAAUCCUCAUUCAUUAAAUUUGACCUGAAAUGUAUUCUAAAUUUACUUAAUUUAGACUUAAAUUAAUAGACUUAAUUUAGAGACAAUCAUACAACAAGAUGUUAAGUGUUAAGAUGAAAUGUCCCUUAUCUGUCUGUCUCAUCUCAUCUGUCUGUCUAAUACAUGUAGUGGUUUGGGAGUUUUAAACUUCUCCAAACUCUUACAUAGUGUUCAGUUUCCAUGUCUCCUCUAUACAACUUUGAACACACCUUUCAUGUUAAAUGUUGUGUGAAGAAAGUUUACUUGUUCAAGUUGUAUUAUGGUAUNAUAUGCUUGAUGUAGCUAUGCAUUUAUUUUUAAUAUUAUUUCUUUCAUUGAAUUGGCUAUAUAUUAAUAGUCUGUUAUUUCUAAAUAAAAAAUUUUAAGCAGCACA
ensembl:lncRNA